CGGAUCCGAUCCAAUUGCAGGUCGGUUGGUUAGGCAGUUCGGACCGGCGGCGCGGCCAUGGCUUCCGACGGCAUCGCCCCCAGAGAUGUAUGUGUUGUUGGGGUUGCACGCACACCUAUGGGUGGUUUCCUUGGUGCCUUGUCUUCCUUGCCUGCAACAAAACUUGGCUCUAUAGCAAUUCAAGCCGCUCUGAAAAGAGCAAACGUGGAUCCGUCCCUUGUGCAGGAGGUCUACUUUGGAAACGUCUUGAGUGCUAAUUUGGGACAAGCUCAUGCAA